rnacentral:rRNA from 1 species
GAUGAACGCUGGCGGCGUGCUUAACACAUGCAAGUCGAACGGAGUUUUCCCUCGGGAAAACUUAGUGGCGGACGGGUGAGUAACGCGUGGGGAACCUGCCCUGUACUGGGGGAUAACACUUAGAAAUAGGUGCUAAUACCGCAUAAGCGCACAAGGCCGCAUGGCCAUGUGUGAAAAACUCCGGUGGUACAGGAUGGACCCGCGUUGGAUUAGCUUGUUGGCGGGGUAACGGCCCACCAAGGCGACGAUCCAUAGCCGGCCUGAGAGGGUGAACGGCCACAUUGGGACUGAGACACGGCCCAAACUCC